AGCGGCGGACGGGUGAGUAAUGCCUAGGAAUCUGCCUGGUAGUGGGGGAUAACGUCCGGAAACGGGCGCUAAUACCGCAUACGUCCUGAGGGAGAAAGUGGGGGAUCUUCGGACCUCACGCUAUCAGAUGAGCCUAGGUCGGAUUAGCUAGUUGGUGGGGUAAAGGCCUACCAAGGCGACGAUCCGUAACUGGUCUGAGAGGAUGAUCAGUCACACUGGAACUGAGACACGGUCCAGACUCCUACGGGAGGCAGCAGUGGGGAAUAUUGGACAAUGGGCGAAAGCCUGAUCCGGCCAUGCCGCGUGUGUGAAGAAGGUCUUCGGAUUGUAAAGCACUUUAAGUUGGGAGGAAGGGCAGUAAGUUAAUACCUUGCUGUUUUGACGUUACCAACAGAAUAAGCACCGGCUAACUUCGUGCCAGCAGCCGCGGUAAUACGAAGGGUGCAAGCGUUAAUCGGAAUUACUGGGCGUAAAGCGCGCGUAGGUGGUUCAGCAAGUUGGAUGUGAAAUCCCCGGGCUCAACCUGGGAACUGCAUCCAAAACUACUGAGCUAGAGUACGGUAGAGGGUGGUGGAAUUUCCUGUGUAGCGGUGAAAUGCGUAGAUAUAGGAAGGAACACCAGUGGCGAAGGCGACCACCUGGACUGAUACUGACACUGGGGUGCGAAAGCGUGGGGAGCAAACAGGAUUAGAUACCCUGGUAGUCCACGCCGUAAACGAUGUCGACUAGCCGUUGGGAUCCUUGAGAUCUUAGUGGCGCAGCUAACGCGAUAAGUCGACCGCCUGGGGAGUACGGCCGCAAGGUUAAAACUCAAAUGAAUUGACGGGGGCCCGCACAAGCGGUGGAGCAUGUGGUUUAAUUCAAAGCAACGCGAAGAACCUUACCUGGCCUUGACAUGCUGAGAACUUUCCAGAGAUGGAUUGGUGCCUUCGGGAACUCAGACACAGGUGCUGCAUGGCUGUCGUCAGCUCGUGUCGUGAGAUGUUGGGUUAAGUCCCGUAACGAGCGCAACCCUUGUCCUUAGUUACCAGCACCUCGGGUGGGCACUCUAAGGAGACUGCCGGUGACAAACCGGAGGAAGGUGGGGAUGACGUCAAGUCAUCAUGGCCCUUACGGCCAGGGCUACACACGUGCUACAAUGGUCGGUACAAAGGGUUGCCAAGCCGCGAGGUGGAGCUAAUCCCAUAAAACCGAUCGUAGUCCGGAUCGCAGUCUGCAACUCGACUGCGUGAAGUCGGAAUCGCUAGUAAUCGUGAAUCAGAAUGUCACGGUGAAUACGUUCCCGGGCCUUGUACACACCGCCCGUCACACCAUGGGAGUGGGUUGCUCCAGAAGUAGCUAGUCUAACCGCAAGGGGGACGGUUACCACGGAGUGAUUCAUGACUGGGGUGAAGUCGUAACAAGGU
rnacentral:rRNA from 1 species